ACGGAAGGCAGCAGUGGGGGAUAUUGCACAAUGGGGGAAACCCUGAUGCAGCGACGCCGCGUGAGUGAAGAAGUAUUUCGGUAUGUAAAGCUCUAUCAGCAGGGAAGAAAAUGACGGUACCUGACUAAGAAGCUCCGGCUAAAUACGUGCCAGCAGCCGCGGUAAUACGUAUGGAGCAAGCGUUAUCCGGAUUUACUGGGUGUAAAGGGAGCGCAGACGGUUUGCCAAGUCUGAUGUGAAAGCUAGGGGCUCAACCCCUAAACUGCAUUGGAAACUGGUAGACUAGAGUGUCGGAGAGGUAAGUGGAAUUCCUAGUGUAGCGGUGAAAUGCGUAGAUAUUAGGAAGAACACCAGUGGCGAAGGCGGUUAGCUGGACAAUAACUGACGCUGAGGCGCGAAAGCGUGGGUAGCAAACAGGAUUAGAUACCCUGGUA
rnacentral:rRNA from 1 species